GAUGAAGAGCGCAGCGAAAUGCGAUAAGUAAUGUGAAUUGCAGAAUUCAGUGAAUCAUCGAAUCUUUGAACGCACAUUGCGCCCGUCAGUAUUCUGGCGGGCAUGCCUGUUCGAGCGUCAUUACGCCCCUCAAGUCCCCUGUGGACUUGGUGUUGGGGAUCGGCGAGGCUGGUUUUCCAGCACAGCCGUCCCUUAAAUUAAUUGGCGGUCUCGCCGUGGCCCUCCUCUGCGCAGUAGUAAAACACUCGCAACAGGAGCCCGGCGCGGUCCACUGCCGUAAAACCCCCCAACUUUUUAUAGUUGACCUCGAAUCAGGUAGGACUACCCGCUGAACUUAAGCAUAUCAAUAAGCGGAGGA
rnacentral:misc_RNA from 1 species